ACAGUGGUGGUUCAGUGGUAGAAUUCUCGCCUUCCACGCAGAAGACGUGGGUUCGAUUCCUGGCCAAUGUA
rnacentral:tRNA from 1 species